rnacentral:rRNA from 1 species
UUCAUGUGGGGCAAGCGUUGCUCGGAUUGACUGGGCGUAAAGGGCGCGUAGGCGGUUUGCAUAGUCAGACGUGAAAUUCCUGGGCUUAACCUGGGGGCUGCGUUUGAUACAUGCAGGCUUGAGUUCGGAAGAGGGUCGUGGAAUUCCCAGUGUAGAGGUGAAAUUCGUAGAUAUUGGGAAGAACACCGGUGGCGAAGGCGGCGACCUGGUCCGAUACUGACGCUGAGGCGCGAAAGCGUGGGGAGCAAACAGG